GAUGAACGCUGGCGGCGUGCCUAAUACAUGCAAGUCGAGCGAACGGACGAGGAGCUUGCUCCUCUGAUGUUAGCGGCGGACGGGUGAGUAACACGUGGAUAACCUACCUAUAAGACUGGGAUAACUUCGGGAAACCGGAGCUACUACCGGAUAAUAUAUUGAACCGCAUGGUUCAAAAGUGAAAGACGGUAUUGCUGUCACUUAUAGAUGGAUCCGCGCUGCAUUAGUUAGUUGGUAAGGUAACGGCUUACCAAGGCUACGAGGGAUAGCCGACCCGAGAGGGGGGAUGGCCACACUGGAACUGAGGAAGGGCCCCCACUCCUGCAGGGAGGCACAGCAGGGAAUCCUCCGGGAGGGGGCAAAGGCGUACAGUGGAACGUCGGCGGAAGCAUGAAGGAUCUCGGACGCGUAAACGAUGAUUAUCGGGGAGUAGAAAAGCUCUAGUAACCGUGAACAUCAUGACAGUACCGUAAGAAAAAGCCCCGGCUAACUACGUG
rnacentral:rRNA from 1 species